GUUGCUGAAUCUGUCUUCAUUUCAGCUCAACAAAGGAGCUUGUGACAAGAAAAUCCCCAUCCUGGCCUCAGACACAAAGCACUUAACACCUAUGGAGUUUAACAAUGGUGACCAGUACAGAAGACAAAGUUUGUGAGGAAUUCCCAACUGUGAAUAUGAAGAAUUGUGUGAUGGAGUUUAUUGCUAAUUAAAAAAUUUGACACAUGGGCUGAACAAAGACACAAUAUUAUCAGAUAUGCUGAUAACUGAAUAUAAGGUGAUGCCUUCCUCUGCUUCAACAGGCUUCCUCGAUGUCAUUGAAGAAGUUUCAGGGUGUCAAGAAGCUUGAUUGUACUGUUUACUUCAUCUCCCCAAUACCUCCAUGUUCCAGUUUGGAGAUAUCAUUUCUUUCAAACCUAGGUGUAUGACGAUUGCUGGGAAACAAUUUAUCUACCAGCACUUUGCUAUUUAUGUGGGUGAUGAAGACCUUCCCGGUAAAGGCAACGGGGCGAACAUAUAUGAAUGCCUGAACAAUAAGCCUUCCUGUGUUUUCUCUACACUGGACAUGGCUGAGGAGCCUCAGGUGACCAAUUACCUCGAUGAAUAUAAGGGCAAGAAUGGACAGGAGUACAAGGCAGGAACUAAACUAAAUAAUUUGAGCGCAUUAACCAAUCCAAAAAACAGAUGUUGGGCGUAUGAAGUCAUUAGCAACAACUGUGAACGCCUUGCUACCU